rnacentral:rRNA from 1 species
GACGAACGCUGGCGGCGUGCCUAAUACAUGCAAGUUGAGCGAUGAAGAUUGGUGCUUGCACCAAUUUGAAGAGCAGCGAACGGGUGAGUAACGCGUGGGGAAUCUGCCUUUGAGCGGGGGACAACAUUUGGAAACGAAUGCUAAUACCGCAUAAUAACUUUAAACAUAAGUUUUAAGUUUGAAAGAUGCAAUUGCAUCACUCAAAGAUGAUCCCGCGUUGUAUUAGCUAGUUGGUGAGGUAAAGGCUCACCAAGGCGAUGAUACAUAGCCGACCUGAGAGGGUGAUCGGCCACAUUGGGACUGAGACACGGCCCAAACGCCUACGGGAGGCAGCAGUAGGGAAUCGUCGGCAAUGGACGAAAGUCUGACCGAGCAACGCCGCGUGAGUGAAGAAGGUUUUCGGAUCGUAAAACUCUGUUGGUAGAGAAGAACGUUGGUGAGAGUGGAAAGCUCAUCAAGUGACGGUAACUACCCAGAAAGGGACGGCUAACUACGUG